rnacentral:misc_RNA from 1 species
CGGGCAAUCAGAUUGAGAGAGUCCUCAUAUGUUGGCUCCCAGUACUUUGCUUUGGGAAUCCCUUUGUCAUAUGCUUUUUGAAAUUCACUUUGAACCUGAAGAGCCAUAACACCAGAUGCAAAUUGAGUCAUUGGAUGAGCUGUGACAGGUAAAGCAUCAAUUGCCUUGUACACAUAAUCUGGAACAGUGGCACGAUCACGUAAUUCCUUUGACAAUGCAUCAACUUGUUCUUUGCUUGGUACCUUUCCAGUUAAAAGAAGCCAAAGAAGACCCUCAGGUAAAG